AAACGAGAGGGAAAGUAUCACCGGGCACGAGUAACCCGGUGUGAAGAUAGGGGGCCCAUCCCCUAAGGCUAAAUACUAACAUGUGACCGAUAGUGAACAAGUACCGUGAGGGAAAGGUGAAAAGAACCCCGAAAGGGGAGUGAAAUAGAACCUGAAACCUAGUGCCUACAAGCAGACAGAGCGUGAGCGAACGUGAUGUCGUACCUUUUGUAGAAUGGGCCAGCGAGUUAUUCUAAAUUGCAAGGUUAAUGAUUUAAGAUCAGAAGCCGUAGUGAAAGCGAGUCUUAAUAGGGCGAAAGUAAGUUAGAAUAGACCCGAAACCGGGUGAUCUAUCCAUGGUCAGAGUGAAGUUGAAGUAAAAUUCAAUGGAGGCUCGAACCGGGUGCGGUUUAAAACGCAUCGGAUGAACUGUGGAUAGGGGCGAAAAACCAAACGAACCCGGAGAUAGCUGGUUCUCCUCGAAAUAGCUUUAGGGCUAGCCUCUGACCUAAGAUUUUAGGAGGUAGAGCACUGAAUGGUCUAGGGCGGAUUACCGUACCAAAACCUAUCAAACUCCGAAUGCCAAAAAAUCAAGUCAGGGAGUCAGACUUAGGGGGAUAAGCUUCUAAGUCGAAAGGGAAACAGCCCAGACCGACAGCUAAGGUCCCAAAAUUUGAAUUAAGUGGAAAAGGAUGUGAAUCUACUAAGACAACCAGGACGUUGGCUUAGAAGCAGCCAUGCAUUUAAAGAAUGCGUAAUAGCUCACUGGUCAAGUGGGUUUGCGCCGAAAAUGAACGGGGCUCAAAUUCAAUACCGAAGCUUCGGAUUAAUAGAGGGAUUAAGUUUACAAAUGAGACUAGGAAAUAUUUAACAAAAACAGAAGAGAUUAAAAAGAAAAACAAAUUUCAGACGCAGACAUAAAAGAUAGGAUAUUAAAAAAGAAAAAUAUUCAAAAAACACAAGUCUAAAGUCAAAAGUGAGUAACAUAAGAAAUUAUGAACUAACAAUCACUGGUUAAGAGUUAAAAACUAGGACUCAUAGCUAAACUUAAUACCUCUAUUAGUGGUAGAGGAGCAUUGUAUUAGAGACGAAGCCAAGGCGAAAGCAAAAGUGGAUCUAAUACAAGAGAGAAUGCUGGCAUGAGUAGCGAGAAGGGAUGUGAGAAUCAUCCCCGUCGAAACCCUAAGGACUCCUGAGCAAGGCUCGUCCCCUCAGGGAAAGUCGGGACCUAAGCCAAGGCCGAAAGGCGUAGGCGAUGGAUAACAGGUUUAUAUUCCUGUACCGCUUGAAGUCGUUAAGAGAGAAGUGAUGACGCAAAAGGAUAAGCAAAGCCAUCAGAUGGAAAAGAUGGUCUAAAGCCGUAGGAAGAAAAGUAGGCAAAUCCGCUUUUCACAAAUUCUAAAAGCCGAUAGGUAUCGAAAACAUAAGUAGAGAAGUUGCCGAUUCCAAGUUGCCAAGAAAAGUCACUAUCCAGACCAAAGCGCCCGUACCAAAACCGACACAGGUAGGGAGGUAGAGAAUACCAAGACGCGCGGAAGAACCUUUGUUAAGGAACUCGGCAAAAUGUCCCCGUAACUUCGGGAGAAGGGGAGCCUGAGCAAUCAGGCCACAGAAACCAGGCCCAAGCGACUGUUUACCAAAAACACAAGUUUCUGCAAAAUCGCAAGAUGAAGUAUAGGAGCUGACACCUGCCCGGUGCUGGAAGGUUAAGGGGAAGGCUUAGAGCAAUCGAAGGCUAGAACUUAAGCCCCAGUAAACGGCGGCCGUAACUAUAACGGUCCUAAGGUAGCGAAAUUCCUUGUCGGGUAAGUUCCGACCCGCACGAAAGGUGUAACGA
rnacentral:rRNA from 1 species